GGCAGUUUAACUUAAUGGUAGAGCACUAAACUGGCAUCUCAGAGGUACGGGUUCAAGUCCCAUGGUUGUCU
rnacentral:tRNA from 1 species